GUGUAUUCUAUAGCUCUGUUGGUAGAGUGCUUGCCUUGCAUGCAUAAGGCCCUUGGUUCAAUCCCCAGCACUACACA
rnacentral:tRNA from 1 species